rnacentral:sRNA from 1 species
GAUAUCAGGGUCAAAAGGCCAAAAAAUUGUUCGUGCUUGCACGAUAAGACUUUUGAACUUGGGACCCGCCAAACAUGAGAAAGUAGCGAUUUACGCAGUAAAUCAGCGGAUUUCGAAUGUUUGAGAAUUACGGGAGCUGCUUUGCAGCGGAGCAAUUCGUAGAUAUC